rnacentral:rRNA from 1 species
ACGACUGCUAAUACCGCAUACGCCCUACGGGGGAAAGGAGGGGACCUUCGGGCCUUUCGCGAUUGGAUGAACCUAGGUGGGAUUAGCUAGUAGGUGGGGUAAUGGCUCACCUAGGCAACGAUCCCUAGCUGGUCUGAGAGGAUGAUCAGCCACACUGGAACUGAGACACGGUCCAGACUCCUACGGGAGGCAGCAGUGGGGAAUAUUGCACAAUGGGCGAAAGCCUGAUGCAGCCAUGCCGCGUGUAUGAAGAAGGCCUUCGGGUUGUAAAGUACUUUCAGCGAGGAGGAAAGGUNNGUAGUUAAUAACUGCUUACUGUGACGUUACUCGCAGAAGAAGCACCGGCUAACUUCGUGCCAGCAGCCGCGGUAAUACGAGGGGUGCAAGCGUUAAUCGGAAUUACUGGGCGUAAAGCGUACGCAGGCGGUUUGUUAAGCAAGAUGUGAAAGCCCCGGGCUCAACCUGGGAACUGCAUUUUGAACUGGCAAACUAGAGUCUUGUAGAGGGGGGUAGAAUUUCAGGUGUAGCGGUGAAAUGCGUAGAGAUCUGANNGAAUACCGGUGGCGAANGCGGNCCCNUGGACAAAGACUGACGCUCANGUACGANAGCGUGNGGAGCAAACAGGAUUAGAUA